GAUUCUUCGGAUGAAGAGGAUUGUGACUGGGCGGCGGACGGGUGAGUAACGCGUGGGUAACCUGCCUCAUACAGGGGGAUAACAGUUAGAAAUGACUGCUAAUACCGCAUAAGACCACAGCACCGCAUGGUGCAGGGGUAAAAACUCCGGUGGUAUGAGAUGGACCCGCGUCUGAUUAGGUAGUUGGUGGGGUAACGGCCUACCAAGCCGACGAUCAGUAGCCGACCUGAGAGGGUGACCGGCCACAUUGGGACUGAGACACGGCCCAAACUCCUACGGGAGGCAGCAGUGGGGAAUAUUGCACAAUGGGGGAAACCCUGAUGCAGCGACGCCGCGUGAGCGAUGAAGUAUUUCGGUAUGUAAAGCUCUAUCAGCAGGGAAGAAAAUGACGGUACCUGACUAAGAAGCACCGGCUAAAUACGUGCCAGCAGCCGCGGUAAUACGUAUGGUGCAAGCGUUAUCCGGAUUUACUGGGUGUAAAGGGAGCGUAGACGGAGUGGCAAGUCUGAUGUGAAAACCCGGGGCUCAACCCCGGGACUGCAUUGGAAACUGUCAAUCUGGAGUACCGGAGAGGUAAGCGGAAUUCCUAGUGUAGCGGUGAAAUGCGUAGAUAUUAGGAGGAACACCAGUGGCGAAGGCGGCUUACUGGACGGUAA
rnacentral:rRNA from 1 species